GACGAACGCUGGCGGCGUGCUUAACACAUGCAAGUCGAACGGAGUGGCGAACGGGUGAGUAACACGUUGGUGAUCUGCCUUGCACUCUGGGAUAAGCUUGGGAAACUGGGUCUAAUACCGGAUAGUGCAAGAUGAGCUCGCGGCCUAUCAGCUUGUUGGUGGGGUAAUGGCCUACCAAGGCGUCGACGGGUAGCCGGCCCGUGAGGGUGUACGGCAACAUGGGGACCGAGAUACGGCCGAGACUCCUACGGGAGGCAGCAGUGGUGAAUAUUGCACAAUGGGCGGAAGACUGAUGCAGCGACGCGGCGUGGGGGAGGACGGCCUUCGGGUUGUAACCGCCUUUCGACAGGGACGCGGUACCUGUAUAAGAAGCACCGGCUAACUACGUGCCAGCAGCCGCGGUAAUUC
rnacentral:rRNA from 1 species